UCUACAUACAAAGCUGUAAUUCCAUUGAGAGUUCGCAGUGACAUUGAUAAAUGAUGUCACCAGAACCCUUUGCUUGAAUUACAAUCUUAAUUAUGUACACCUGGGUUCUUAGUAUUCCUUAUAUUAUUUCUGUCAUAGCACUAUCUUGUCCUAUUCUUACUCUGAUGCUAAUUUGUUUUAUCAGUAGCCAAAGCACUGCAGCUUAGCAAAGCCUGUCCGUGGUGUUUAAAUGACUGUAAAUUUCUUCCUUCUUAUUACUGCUGUUUUUAAAACAGAGCGCAGCAGUAAACAAUAAAGUCAGUUUUUACAUGAAGAUGAUGCAAGGUUUGUAUAAAGUUUUUAGAGUUGUUUUUUUUUUCCACAGUUUUCUUAUUUAGGACUAUCCAGCAUUUCUGACUGCUUCUAGUUGUUUCAUGUCCCCUGAGAAAAGAAGAGCAAAAAGGUUUGGUUACUCAGUUAUUUUUGUGGGAGAGGAAUUCCCAUAUGACUGAAGGUGGGAAACACUGUGUAUGAAAAUAUAAAAGACUCGGCUUUGAGUACAUGUGUGGCCAAUGGAAUCCCUUUAAAAAUGAUCAAUCAGGCUGUGGCUUGCUUUGCUCCGGAAGCCCCUUGAAGAGACUGGCUUACAACAAAGGUCUGAGUCAUGCAAGUUAUUGCCUAAAACUUGGAGCUGACUCUGAAAAAAGUGACUCAAAUAAAUAACAAGAUGAAGCACAGACACUGUUAUAAACUGCUGGUGAGAUUUGAAAAAGAACUGUGGCAUAACACAUCUGGCACAGAUGCGGCAUGGUGUAGAGUUUCUGCCCAGAAAGUCACCAGCUGUGCUUCAUCUUUCCUUGCUCUGAUAGCCUGGACUGCUUCAUCCUCCACCCUGUUCCCAGAGUACUCAGCAGUUCUUCCCUAACUGGGAAAUCUGUAUCAGGGAUAUUGCUGCUGCUUGGAAGAUACCACACUGACAGGUAUCAUCAGUCACACUGUGCUGCUUUGUGAUUUUAAGGUGUCUAAAGCAGUCCAAAACAUGGUGUUAGCUGGGCUUCCAAAAGCAAAGUUUGUAUGCUAAUGCUCUGUCUGGUUUAGCAGAUGUCUCUUCCUACCUGGUUUUAAUGUUAACUACUAAAAAUCAGUGGCUGUUUUAUUGCCCAGAAUGGUAUGCAGCAAGCCCUUUCCUCCAAAGUGUGAAGUCUGCAGAAGCUAUCCUGCUGUGCCAUCACACCCAAAGCAUUGGAUCACCUUAACUCAACUGCUAGGUGCUUUGUGCUACAUUAUUAAUUACUGCAAGGCUUCUAAAGUUUAUUUACUUCAGUAAGAUUUUGGUCCAUUUACUAUGAUUCAUUACUCAAUCUGUGAUGCCAAAUUAAUAUUUUUUAAUUGUCAUAAUAGCUAUGGCACCUAUGUUGUGACAAUUAAGAAAACAGUGGUUAUCUGGUGAAUAUUAUUUGGGUCCGAAUUUUCUUUAAUUGAUUUUGUUAGUAGGCCUACCUUUUGAUGCUGUUCAGAGCCAGUAGGGUUUCUACAUAAAUCUCAACAGUUUGGAAAGGGUAGGAGAGGGAGUGCUGUAUAACAAAGUAUCCUGUGGGGUUUAUACCUAGCAUGAAAAAAGUUGUGUCAUAAAAGUGUCAUUUCUUAGUGUGAAGUUGUUUUGGGUUGUGUUUUUCAAAUACACCUAAGCUGCCCAGAUUGCAUAGAGGAACUAUUUUCAAUUCUUUUGAUGCCUCCAGCAAUUACACCUUCUUGAUGACAGACAAACUGUGUUGAAGCACUGCUGUGUCAAUGGUUUAUGUUUCAGCUGACUCAUCAUGACUUUCAUGCACACAUAAAAGUAAAAAGAAAAAUUUUUGUUGA